rnacentral:rRNA from 1 species
AUUGAACGCUGGCGGCAUGCUUUACACAUGCAAGUCGAACGGUAACAGGUUAAGCUGACGAGUGGCGAACGGGUGAGCAAUGCAUCGGAACGUGCCCGAUCGUGGGGGAUAACGCAGCGAAAGCUGCGCUAAUACCGCAUACGAUCUGAGGAUGAAAGCGGGGGACCGUAAGGCCUCGCGCGAUCGGAGCGGCCGAUGUCAGAUUAGGUAGUUGGUGGGGUAAAGGCUCACCAAGCCAACGAUCUGUAGCUGGUCUGAGAGGACGACCAGCCACACUGGGACUGAGACACGGCCCAGACUCCUACGGGAGGCAGCAGUGGGGAAUUUUGGACAAUGGGCGAAAGCCUGAUCCAGCAAUGCCGCGUGCAGGAAGAAGGCCUUCGGGUUGUAAACUGCUUUUGUACGGAGCGAAAAGGCUCUCUCUAAUACAGGGGGCUCAUGACGGUACCGUAAGAAUAAGCACCAGCUAACUACGUGCCAGCAGCCGCGGUAA